ensembl:rRNA 5S_rRNA 5S ribosomal RNA
GUUUACCGCCAUACUACCCUGAACACACCCAAUCUCAUCUGAUCUCCGAAGCUAAACAUAAUAGGUGAUAGGGACUGGGUGGUGACAUACCCAGCAGAGUGCACAAAAUGCAGUUCAUA